UUACAAAUCACCCUUCAUGAUAUAAAAUGUGAGGCUGGAACAGGACUUAUGAUAAAAUAGUUUAUUUUUAAUACAUACUAAUUUUGUGCCGACAUAUUUACAAAGGCAGAUUCUAAAAAAACAAAAAGCUUAAACAAUGCUUCUCCGGAACAGAAACCAAACAAAUCGCCCAAGGAGGGAUCAAGACAGGAUCCACUCCCCCCAGAAAAGAAACACAAAAAGGUACCUCACCUCCCCAAGAUAAAUCACUCGCCCAAAACUAUAGACACAGACGUUCCACCAUUGGAUGCUGGAAACCGAAACCACCACAAGACCCCAACAAGCUGUAGAAAGACAACAUCACCAAACAUCUUAUAGCAGCUACCUUGUCAACAACACAGGCCGCCACUAACAAGCACAACCCAGCCCCAAAGAAAAGGAAAAAACCUGUCAGCGAAAUGAGAAGCACCUCCAUAAAACACAUGGUCGCUGGCUUAAAUUAGCCCGGAUAAAAGUUGAAGGUAUUCCAACUUUGAAGCUUUGCUGCAGAGAACACUCUGAACGCCUUAAGCCAUCGCCCGAUUGAAUAUAGACUUCUCCUCCAAACAUACUCAUCAUUUAUGUCCUUAUCAUUGAAAAUUCUUCCUUUUCUCUCAAGCCAC
rnacentral:lncRNA from 1 species